CGCGGGAGUAUCCCGAAGAACGCGACGCGUGGAAGGCGGCUCCGUCUGUGCCGUAAGUGCAGGCAGUUGAAUAGAAGAAAGUGGCUUGGAGCUUUUUUCACUUCUACCAUUGGGGAUUUAAUUUCAUCAUCUCUGACUCUGUCCUUUAAAAAAAGAAAGAAAGAAAAGCAGCAACAGCGAGACCCACA